AUUGAACGCUGGCGGCAGGCUUAACGCAUGCAAGUCGAGCGGGGUGAUGGUGCUUGCACUAUCACUUAGCGGCGGACGGGUGAGUAAUGCUUAGGAAUCUGCCUAUUAGUGGGGGACAACAUCUCGAAAGGGAUGCUAAUACCGCAUACGUCCUACGGGAGAAAGCAGGGGAUCACUUGUGACCUUGCGCUAAUAGAUGAGCCUAAGUCGGAUGAGCUAGUUGGUGGGGUAAAGGCCUACCAAGGCGACGAUCUGUAGCGGGUCUGAGAGGAUGAUCCGCCACACUGGGACUGAGACACGGCCCAGACUCCUACGGGAGGCAGCAGUGGGGAAUAUUGGACAAUGGGGGGAACCCUGAUCCAGCCAUGCCGCGUGUGUGAAGAAGGCCUUAUGGUUGUAAAGCACUUUAAGCGAGGAGGAGGCUCUUUUGGUUAAUACCCAAGAUGAGUGGACGUUACUCGCAGAAUAAGCACCGGCUAACUCUGUGCCAGCCGCCGCUGUAA
rnacentral:rRNA from 1 species